rnacentral:rRNA from 1 species
UACGUAGGUGGCAAGCGUUGUCCGGAAUUAUUGGGCGUAAAGCGCGCGCAGGCGGCUUCUUAAGUCUGAUGUGAAAUCUCGGGGCUCAACCCCGAGCGGCCAUUGGAAACUGGGGGAGCUUGAGUGCAGAAGAGGAGAGUGGAAUUCCACGUGUAGCGGUGAAAUGCGUAGAGAUGUGGAGGAACACCAGUGGCGAAGGCGACUCUCUGGUCUGUAACUGACGCUGAGGCGCGAAAGCGUGGGGAGCAAACAGG